UCGCGAUUGAGUCCGGCAGGUCUACUUGCCAGCAACCCCUAAUUUUUUAAGGUUGACCUCGGAUCAGGUAGGGAUACCCGCUGAACUUAAGCAUAUCAAUAAGCGGAGGAAAAGAUACCAACAGGGAUUACCUCAGUAACGGCGAGUGAAGCGGUAACAGCUCAAAUUUGAAAGCUGGCUCUUUUAGGGUCCGCGUUGUAAUUUGUAGAAGAUGCUUCGGGUGUGGCCCCGGUCUAAGUUCCUUGGAACAGGACGUCAUAGAGGGUGAGAAUCCCGUAUGUGACUGUGUGCUUUCGCUCAUGUGAAGCUCUUUCGACGAGUCGAGUUGUUUGGGAAUGCAGCUCAAAAUGGGUGGUAAAUUUCAUCUAAAGCUAAAUAUUGGCCAGAGACCGAUAGCGCACAAGUAGAGUGAUCGAAAGAUGAAAAGCACUUUGGAAAGAGAGUUAAACAGUACGUGAAAUUGUUGAAAGGGAAGCGCUUGCAACCAGACUUGCGCGUUGAUGAUCAUCCGGGCUUCUGUCCGGUGCACUCGUCUGCGCUCAGGCCAGCAUCGGUUUCGGUGGUGGGAUAAAGGCCUUGGGAAUGUGGCUCCUCUCGGGGAGUGUUAUAGCCCUCGGUGCAAUGCCGCCUACCGGGACCGAGGACCGCGCUUCGGCUAGGAUGCUGGCGUAAUGGUUGUAAGCGACC
rnacentral:rRNA from 1 species